CUUAAGGGGCGGAGGCCGGCUCAUAUUUGCCUAUUAGGGCCGUGGGACGCCGAGGUUCUGCUGGGUCCCUCCUGGAAAUAGAUCCUUCCCAGCCAGCACCCGAAGUCAGCAGCAGAGGGCAAAGCACCUGGGCUUUAUUUAGCUCCAAGCUCCACGAUCCUCCUGCAUAUUGUUCCUGGAAGAGGCAAAAGCCUAGGGCUUCAAGAUGCCGGGGCUUUAAGAAACCAAGGCAUGACCUCAAGUGAUUUGCCGGAGGUGGCCUCGGUGGCAGCAGUCAUUGAAGAAAGGAAGACAGCUGCCCAGCCAGUCUGACAGACCAUACACAGACAGCCCUGUUCACAGGGAGGCGUGGGCAAAGAUUUCAUGACGAAACAUCAAAAGCAAUUGCAACAAAAGCAAAAAUUGACAAAUAUGAUUUAAUUAAACAAAAGAGCUUCUGCACAGCAAAAGAAACCAUCAUCAGAGUGAACAGACACAACCUAUAGAACGGGAGAACACUUUUGCAAUCUAUCCAUCUGACAAAGGUCUAAUAUCCAGAGUCUACAAGGAACUUAAACAAAUUUACAAGAAAAAAACAAACUACCCCAUUAAACAGUGGGCAAAAAACAUGAACAGACACUUCUCAAAAGAAGACAUUUAUGCAUCCAAAAAA
rnacentral:lncRNA from 1 species